rnacentral:rRNA from 1 species
GCNCCNGAGAGGGUAANAGCCCCGUCGGGCCUGAACCCUGUUGCACCACGGGGCACUGUUGGCNAGUCNAGUUGUUUGGGAAUACAGCCCUAAUCGGGUGGUAAAUUUUGUCCAAGGCUAAAUACAUGCAAGGGACCAAUAGNGAACAAGUAUCAUGAGGGAAAGAUGAAAAGGACUUUGAAAAGAGAGUUAAAGAGUGCUUGAAAUUACUAAGAGGNAAGCAGAUGGAGGCCGGCAUUNCACCCCGGUCAGAUGNAGAACGGUGUCGUUGCCGGUCNGCCGCUCGUCUCAGGGAGNAGACCAGCAUNGGNUGNCGCGGUGGCAAAAUCGCACGUGGGAGACCGUGUGACAUUUCAUCAUUGCGGCNGUCAGGGAAAUGAAGCGCGNGCCCCUCCGGCGGGCCCUCAGGCACCUGCUCGCUCAUGGCGUUGGCCUGCGGGCUUUCCAUCUGACCCGUCUUGAAACACGAACCAAGGAGUCUAACAUGUGUGUGAGUNAGCGGGUUCANAAACCCAUUAGGCANAAGGAAGCUGACUGGCAAGAGCCCCCCGGGGUGCACUNCCGACCGACCCUGAUCUUUUGUGAAGGGUUUAAGUGCGAGCAUACCUGUUGGGACCUGAAAGAUGGUGAACUAUGCCUAAGUAGGGUGAAGCCAGAGGAAACUCUGGUGGAGGCCCGUAGCCAUACUAACNUGUAAAUCNUUCGUUUGACUUGGGUAUAGGGGCGAAAGACUAAUCAAACUGUCUAGUAGCUAGUUUCCUCUAAAGUUUCCCUNAGGAUAGCUNGAGCUNNCAUGCGAGUUUUAUCNGGUAAAGUGAAUGAUUAGAGGCAUNGGGGACNUAACNCCCUCNACCUAUUCUCAAACUUUAAAUAGGUAAGACAGUGCGGCUGCUCCAUUGAGCCNUGCCACNGAAUCGAGAGCUUCAAGUGGGCCAUUUUUGGUAAGCAGAACUNGCNAUGCGGGAUGAACCGAAAGCUGAGUUACGGUGCUGGACUGCGCGCUAACCCAGAUCCCACAAAGGGUGU